AGUGGCUGGUGUCCAGCUCAGUUUGUGUCCAGCUCAGUUUGUGCCCAGCUCAGUUUGUGUCCAGCUCAGCUUGGUGCCCAGCUCAGUUUGUGUCCAGCUCAGCUUGGUGCCCAGCUCAGUUUGUGUCCAGCUCAGCUUGGUGCCCAGCUCAGUUUGUGUCCAGCUCAGCUUGGUGCCCAGCUCAGUUUGUGUCCAGCUCAGCUUGGUGCCCAGCUCAGUUUGUGUCCAGCUCAGCUUGGUGCCCAGCUCAGUUUGUGUCCAGCUCAGCUUGGUGCCCAGCUCAGUUUGUGUCCAGCUCAGCUUGGUGCCCAGCUCAGUUUGUGUCCAGCUCAGCUUGGUGCCCAGCUCAGUUUGUGUCCAGCUCAGCUUGGUGCCCAGCUCAGUUUGUGUCCAGCUCAGCUUGGUGCCCAGCUCAGUUUGUGUCCAGCUCAGCUUGGUGCCCAGCUCAGUUUGUGUCCAGCUCAGCUUGGUGCCCAGCUCAGUUUGUGUCCAGCUCAGCUUGGUGCCCAGCUCAGUUUGUGUCCAGCUCAGCUUGUGUCCAGCUCAGCUUGGUGUCCAGCUCGCCUGGUGUCCAGCUCAUCCCCCCCCCCCCCCCCCCCCCCCCCCCCCCCCCCCCCCCCCCCCCCCCCCCCCCCCCCCCCCCCCCCCCCCCCCCCCCCCCCCCCCCCCCCCCCCCCCCCCUUGUGUCCAGCUCAGCUUGUGUCCAGCUCAGCUUGUGCCCAGCUCAGCUUGGUGCCCAGAUAAGCUUUGGUGCCCAGCUCAGCUUGGUGCCCAGCUUUGGCAUCACCAGCACCUUCCUCUUUCCUGCCAACUGCAACAAGGCAUCUUUUAUUAACACAGCAUCCAAGAAAACAGAGAAUCUCAGGUUGCCUGCUCCUGCAGAGCUGUGCUCAGGGAGCUGCUUGGGAGCUGCAGAUGCAGCGGGCUCUUGUCUGUCUGUCCAUCCGUCCAUGCCUGCACAAACUGCAGGGCUGGAGCAGGGCAGGUUCCUUCUGGUGCUGCUGCAGCUUCUUGUGAUGGUGAAGCUGGAGGUGCCUGGCAGAGACCUGUCCCCAGCAUGGGGACACCUGGGGUCUGUGCCCAGGACCAUGGCUUCAGUUUCCUGCUUUAUUUUCCAAGCUGGUUCUUUCCCCCCAGGAUCAUCAUGGAGAUGUCCA
rnacentral:lncRNA from 1 species